rnacentral:lncRNA from 1 species
AUGAGGGAGUGAUGAUGGAAGAUGGUGGAAACUGAGAAUGGGACGUAGUUGAGGGUUUUGACGACGAUGAAGUGGAGAAUUUAGCCGGAGUACGGUGAGGGAUGAGGAGGAGACGGCGGCGGAUCAUCGCGGUGAACUAGCGAAGGUAGAUUGAUAUUUGAUAGUGAUGUUCGCAAGUCGCGCCAGCAGCUGUGCAUAUCAUUUCUUUUGUUUACCCAAUUGCCGUGUUGGGAAUUUUACAGAUGAUCUGAGUCGGAAAGUCGGUGGAUGAAGUAUCGACUAACAGUAGUUAAUUUAAUAUCGGAUUCAUUAGAGAUUAAUUUAGGGCCAAGCUUUUCCAGUUUGUUGUCAAAGUCAGAGCCCAAUCCAAUUUUGGGACAGCCUUUAGACCGUUUGAGCCCAACAAAUCGAACCUUUUAAGUCUUUUUUGCAAAAUGAAAGUGUUAUCAUCAACAAUUGAAGCCUCAAAUCAUUAUAUGAUUUUAAUUAUUAUUUAGUUUAUUCAUUUUGAUCCACAAUAAGCAAUAACCUUAUCUAGCUUUUAUUGUUAUUAAGAAUAUUACAUUAAAAACCCUCCAAAAUUAAUUAUUAUCCCAUAGAUACUUGACAUUUCAACUUCCCAAUUAAUACUGAUAUAGUCUUUGAUAAUUAACAUCUAAACCUAUCUAUAAAUAAGGAUUAAGAAUUUGAGAUUAUUCAAUUAUUCACUUUUCGAUUCAACAAUUUAUCUUCAGAUGGAAGAUUCAAACUUCCUCCAAAUUCUCAUUAAUCUGAAUUAAAUCAUGCAAUCCUUCAACUGCCCUAGUGUCUGGAUCAUUGUCAUCAUCUGCAUUUGAAACAUCACGAUGAGAAUCAACAUCAUGAGAAACAUUAAAGAAAACCAAAUAAACUUCUGUAAAAAACUCACGACCAGCAGACAAGACCUGAUGUCAAAAAUUGAGAAGGAGUGAUUUGCCGACGAACAGAGGAGCAACAAAACCAGAGAAGACGAGAGUCGGCGAAACCCUAUAUCGUGAGAGCAGAAUGAAGAAUCGUAAAUGAGAAAACUUUAAAGAAAAAUGAACUGAAAAUACCUGUGAGUGGAAUACCCAAUUAAUUCUGACAGCUUGCCUUAUAUAAUACAUUGGCUGGAUAAUUAAUCGGAUAUCUUGGAUCCGAUUAAUCUGAUACAGUUUUCUCUAUCAGACUAAUAUGAUAUCAGAUCAUUAAGAUCCAAUACAGUUGUAUUUCAUUAAGAUUCAACAACAACAAAAAAGUCAUUUUUCAUCAAGUUUUUUUUCUCAAAAAAAAACAACAAACAAACACAUCAAAUUGUUGGCUACCUACUAAAAGAAAUCGACCAUUGUGUAUAAAAACAAGUGAGAUAUUAAAAAUGAUCUGACCAUUUAUUUGUGUCGGUAUCCUUAGAUCGACCUGAGAAACCACAAUAGUUAUUGAAACCAAUAAGCCUUGGUAUGUCAAUUUAGUUAUUGAGACCACAAUAGUUAUUGAGACCUGUGGAGAUGCAAUCACAAUUCACAAUAACAAGAGUUACAAGACACUUCAAUUCCAACAAGUUCAAACUUGAAUUUAGAAAAAUUUAAUUGCUUUAAAAAAAAAAACUUUAAUACUUGAAUCCCUAUUUGUUUUUGUAAUGCUAAUAUUUCAUAAUUUAGAUAUUUAAUGAAGAUUUGAAUUUGAUAUUUAACGCUCACCCGUCCUUAAAUAAUUAGCUGUAUAAAUACGAUAUCAGAUAUGGACAUGUUACCUACAACUACAGCCUACAAGAUUUAUAUGUGAAAAAUUGUCAAAUGUACCCACCUAAAGUUGCUUUAGAGUUAAAACUAACCACCUUUUUUUUUUUGACCAUUUUACCCUUACAAUUAAUUUAAAUUUUCAUUGAUGUGUCAUUGAGUUAAAAAGAUAACGGGUAGAUUUCAUCUCCAUCGUCUUCCCCCUCCCUUCUCCAACUCAUAUCUCUAAUCUUACGUCGUCCUCCAUAUUCUCCCUCCUCCAACCCAUAUCUCUAACCCUACGUCGUCCUCCAUAUUCUCCCUCAUUUCAUCAGGGAUAGCAGGUACGGACGGUAUAGGUUGGUCAUCAAUCAUCGGAUGUAAGGUAACGUUGUUAUUUUUUACCUUCAUCUUCUACCAAGUUUCAUUUUUAUUUACCGCCAACCUCCGUUUUAUCAGCUCCGAUCACUGAUUUUUAACCGAUCGACAAUGCCUCUGUAUUCUCCUUCAUUAGUGCUACCAUCAACGGGCAAGGAGAGAGUCCUCCUUCAUCGUCGUGAACGCCGGUUCACGACGUCGAUGAUAGGUUCGAUCUUAUUGGACUCCCGACCUUCUGGGAGGCCAUAGAAGAAGUUCGUGGAGUGUCCGACGAUGGAGUUCGUUCAGAAGAAGGUAUUUCAUCCUAAAAUGUUUGUGUUCUGUUUCACGGACAGGAAUCGCGAGAAAUAAAUCGCGGACAGGUGUGGAUGAAUUGCGAGAGAAAAAUCGCGGACAGGUGCGGAUGAUCUCCAACGAUACGUCGGGAGGUUUUGUAGCCGCAAUAAGCGUGGCAGAUCCGAUAAAAUCCACAAGCGACAUCGUCGCUCCUUCGUGCAGCGCUAUUCUUCACAUGAAAUCAAAUGUACAUGAUAAUAAUAACAGGAAAAAAAAUAAAAGGAGAUUCAUAUAUUCUUUAACAUAAACAUACAGCUCAUCGUCUUUAGUUAGAACACGACCAGUCGAUCACUGUAUUUCUACUUUUAUUUUCUAAUUUAUAGAUCGGGUUACUCGGGCAGUCGGGUAUGCCCUUCAAGUUUUCAGAUAUUAUGGUAACAUUUUUCAGAUAGCAGGUCAUCGUAAUAAGUUACUAGAUUUGGGUGAUACCAACAGGUAUAACUAAUAAUGGGCAAAUUAGGUAGGUACUUUUGACACUCACCCUUUAUACAUUGAUGAGACUGGAGAAUUGGACUCUCAUCAUAAUUAUAUACAUAUAAAUAUGUUUUUACUAUAACUUACCAUUUAACACUGUACAAAUAUAUACACAAAAUUAUAAUUCAAUCAUUGCUAUUUGCUAGUGGUACUGGUACCUAAAAAUAAAAAUUACAUCUUAAAUCGUAAAUCAUAAAAAAAAAAAAAGAUUAUCCACUUAUCCAAAUUUAAAAAAAAAUAGAAAAUAUCAUAUUUGAUUUUACUAUUUUAACCAUCGAAAAUAGAAAUUGCAUUCCGUCUGUUAAAAUAUGAAGAAGAAACUCAAACGUAAGUAUCGAUCAAAGACUUCCUCAUAGUAUCGACUAUCGCAGUUGGAUGUGAAUCCCCCAAUUUGAAAAUAUUUUCAAUCACAGAGAGCUCUGUUGCAGUAGUGUCCAAGCCGCAGAAAGCAGCCCAGUCAUUCACGAUCAUACCAGCAGCAAUGACAUCACUCCCUCGGUUUAUAGUUCCAGCUACUAGUGGAACUUGGAGUAAGGUAGAAAGUUCAUCAAGAUCCUCAACAGAUGUAUGAGGAUGGACCUAUUUGUUUCAAAUCACAAUGAGAACCAAGAAAUAUUAAUAAAUUAUAAGUUGCAUGUCGGUUUCUCACCAUGCCGCCUCUGUUGGAAAAAGUACAGUAACUGCCAACAAGGAUGUUCCCAGCUAUUGUCUGUCGAAAGACUUCUACUCCAAGAACAUCUGCAAUCAACUCCUCAGUUUCCUAUAGAUAAUGAGAUAUAAAGACAAGGAACAGCAAUAUUAACCACUGAAUGAUUUGAGUGAGUACCAUUAAACAUCUCUAUUUACAUAUAUAUGAUCAGAGAAUCAACAAAUUAUGCACCUUAUCCAAGUCAGUAUGUGUCAGAGCAACAUGGUCAUUGCAAGCUAUACAAUUACCCAAAGCAUUCAUUCUCUCGUCAAUACGCUGAACAACAACGCUAUCAGGUAUGCUGUUCCUCAAGUGUUGAAGUUCUGAGAAAAUCCAGGUCAAAAAAACUUUCAAGCAACUAUAGAGUAUGCAUGCAUAACCAUCUUUCAUUAAUUCAUUGUAUAUUUUUUUUAUGUCAAAUAAAUACUAAGACAAAAGAAAAAAUAUAGAGAAUAUUGUAAUGCAAAUAUAACAAGCCUUUACCUAUAGAUGAUGCCCUGAAUUAUAAUGGAGAUAUAAAAAAUAGAAAAACUAGGAAGAUGAAUCAAUGCCAACACUUUCCUAUGAUGCAUAACAUCUAAUGAUAAAAUAACUAGUAGUACUGCCGCAGGAGGCUACUCUCCUACAACAACAUAGUAGAUACCUCCAACUGGAAACACACAAACCUUCUUCAACUCCUCUGAUUUGAAGGAAAGACUGAUAUAUCUUAAGAUUUACUUACUAUUUUUAAAAAAAUGUUUUCAAAAUAAAGAUUAUACCUUGGUCGGUGGUUGUGUGUGGCAACAAGAGACCAUUCUUGUUCCCUGAAAUAUAAACAACCAUCUAGUUAUGGAGAAUGCUGGUUGUUGGGUAACAAAUAAAAUAAGAAAAUGAUUAUUGGAAAGAAAAAAAUCUAACCAACACAUAGUCGGCCAAUCAUUCGUGUAUCACCAAUGGAUGCCUUCACUACAGGUAUAGCAUCUGCCAACUCAGAUUCAAAUGCACUGCGAGGAAAUGAAAGGUAAAAUAAAACAUUUGAAGAAAGUGAGAUAGUAAAGAUUUCAAUUAUGCAUGCAUACUGAAGUACCUGUAAAAAUUCUCGGAACCCCCAAUUGCAACCAGGCAAUAAGCAUUUGUCAGCUUAGAAAAAACACCGAUUUCACAUGAAUUUUCAAAUUGAAGCCCUGAAAACAAUUGAAUCGUGAAUCGCGUGAAAAGAAGCACUUAUAUACAUUACCAUUAAAUAUAAAUUAGUCACGUGAAAAGAAUACCUAUUCUAAUUGUCUUUAUUGUAGUUUGAUAGAAAUGAAUGACCAAUUUGAUCAUUCUUAAGUGUAAUAAAUACACUCUAAUGCAACAAAUACAAGUCUAUUUAACACUUUAAUAUUUAUUUACCCAUUCUAUAAAUUCUAUUAAUAAAAAAUAGUUUGACGCAAUACAGAACUAAAAUGAAAAUUUAAAACCUUAUCCAUUUAAAAUUCAUGAAUUGAUAAUAGGUCACAGAACAUGCAUCCUAUAUCUUUUAAAAUCUUUGUAAAAAUGAAAGAGUGGAAAUCUUACUGGUAGCCAUGUAGCUGUUGUGAAAUACAAGGCUGUAGACAGCACCUAUAACAAUCAACAAAUAGAUAAGAAGAAUUAGAAAAAAACAAAGAGGCGAACCAUCGUUAUCACGAGGGGGAUUGUUGGAUGGAAAGUGGGUGCAGACACCUCUUUUUAACAAGAACUCGAGAGAGUAGGGGAUAUGUAAGCCCUCGUCGCCGGGAUAUAUGAAUCGAGAGGAAGCAAUCUACAGUUUUUCGCAAAAAAGAUUCGUGAUUUACUGAUCGAUUAAGGAAAAAUAAAUACUUGAAUGUAAAUGUGAUUGACGCCAUUUGCCACUACAAAAGAAAUUAAGUGAUUAAAAACUAAAGAUGCAGAAUAAUUUUAUAAUACCAAUGAAAAACAUUAAAAAAUAUCAAAGAAUGUCCAUUAAAAGAAUUUCGAAAGCAAUGGAUAACCAUCAGAAUUCAGAACUGAUAAAAAAGGUACAGACUAUAUUAUGAUGUUAUAAAUAAACGAAUGUAAGAAAUGAAUUGGUGCUACAAAAUGAAGAAAUCAGUGUUAUGAUUCAAUUUAGUUUACUUUACUAUAAUUAACAAAGAAAAGUGGCAUACCUAAUCAAACAAAAUGGAUUACUGAUAUUAAAUGCAAAGAAUAACUCCACAUCAAUAAUAGUCAAAUAUGCAUUUCGCAUAUUUUGACUUCUCAGUAAAAUAUAAACAGUGACGUCAAUUGAAUUUAGGGAUUUGAAUUUUGAAAAAGAAAAAAAGUAAAAUAAAAACUCAUGAAUUAUACAAAUUGGGAAAUUAAAUAAAUAGAAGAAAAAACAGUUAAUCAACAAUGAGAAGAAACUGGAAAGAAAAAAAUCUGAAACUCCUAAAGAAUCUUUGCCGAAAGUAGAAGAAAAUUUAAGUCACUGAAGACAAGAUGAACACUUAGAGAAUUAUGAGAAAAGCAAGAAAGCUUUUGGAUAUUGCGUUUCACUUGACACUCAAUACUCAGAAUACAAUAGAUCGAUCAAAAACCAACCAACUAAUCAUCAUACAAAGAUAAAUAAAAAAAGAUUGAUUAUAUAUAACGUGAGAAAAGUUUAAACAGACUUGGGAUAUUUGGUACUAAGAGAAUCUCAAGAUGUUUAGAGAAAAAGCAAGCAGAGUUUGGAUAUGAAACAAAAAUCAAGUUGGAAAAAACAUCUGUCUUACACAAUAUUUCGAAAAGAAUUAAAAAAAAAGAGAGAAAUCCGACAUAAUAUCUGUAGAGGAUGAUAGGCAGAAGUAAAUUUACGACACUACCAAAAGAGAAAAAGUCAGAAAUAUCAACAAAAAGACGAUGAAAACAAGACACGUCAGAUGGGGAAGAAAAAAAGAGACGAAGGAGAUCUGCCUGCAACUCGUUGAUGAGAGAAGUAGAUAUAAAUCGAGGAGAAAGAAAAAGAGAUAUAGAGCUUACAGAUCGUAACGUCGGUUAUGGCGAUGAUGAAAACGACGAUGGCCGCCGAGGGUUAGCGAGGUUUUAUCACGUAUUUUCUCAGACAUUUUGGGUGGUUUGGUCACCCUAUGGAACUAUGGGCUUUUAUUUGGGCCUCUUUUUAAAACCCAACCCCUUAUGGACAUUCAUAAGUGAAUCCUUGCUCCUCGGUAUAGUGGUCCAGAUAGCUGAAAAACUGAAAAUUUAUUCCCAGUAACACAAUCCCAGUAUAUUUAUUUUACCGAACUGGAUUGGUGAGCUCAUUUGAAUAAGUGGUGGGUGGUGAUACCAGAAACCGCACUCUCAGUACGGUUUCAUAGGAUUGAGCUCUCAGACAUCCAUAAUUGAGUUAAGGCUCGAAGUAGGGGUGAGAAUGGACGGUCGCCUCCGUCCCGAACCGUUCCAUGCCCCGGUGGUAACCGGAGGCUAUCUGCCCCGUUUUUAUUUUUGCCCCGUCGCCCCGGUCAUAUUCCAGGACGGGUCUCGGGGCAGGACGAAACCCAGGCAGGUCGCCCCGGUUUUUAAAAAAUAUAUAUUUUUUUAAUAAAUUAAAUUAUAUUAGAUGAUUUAGAUAUAAUCAUAUAGGAUUAUUAAGAUUAAAAAUUUAUUACAUUUUAAAGUUUAAAUCUUUUAAACCUUGUGUUCAUUUUAUAUUUACUUUUUGUUUUUACUUUUAAAAGUUAGGGCAAAAAAAUUUCCCGUUUUAAAUUUUAUGUUUAUUUUUUAUUUUUUUAUAAUUCCAAACAUGUCGUCCCGUUUUGGAAAACGGGACAAAUACCAGCCCGUGUGCGACCCGUUCCGGUCUCGUCCCUACCACGAAGGCUCGUGGAGGAUUAAACAGACCUUGGGCAAUUAGGCUAAUAGCAAUUUAUAUUAACAUUGUUGGGAAAAUGAAUAGCCAUUGCCCAUUAGCAUCUCGCCAAUUUGAAGUCUCAAGGUAGUUCAGUUCAAACUUCAAACACACUGACGAUUCAAAUAAAACAACCCGGUGUGCCCAUCAUUAAAAUGAGAGCAAUCUACAAUACCGAGGAAACAUAAUGACAACAAAAUAUUUCACCUUUACAGAUUUCUUAGGCUGAAAAGAGAAGAUAAACCUGAGCAGGUUUGGCAAAGCACCAGGCCUUCCAAGUACCUUCUCGCGAACAUCAACAUCGCCAAUCAGAAAAGCAAGCGCCUUAGCUGCCUCUGCCUGCGUCGCCACACCUUCCACGGCACUUUUCUUCCCAACGGUAUCUAACAACCAAUCAACAACUGCCCCGUUACCCGCCUCGACAAUUGCCCUCCUUCUCCCCUCAUUCGCCGCCACGAUAUCGGCGACCAAAGCUGCAAACCUGAUCUCAAAUCCUCUUUUUACCUUGUGAUUGGCUGACGAAAGAACAGACGUAAGGGACUUCCACAAAACCGCCGCUGCCGCUCCGGUCUGUUUCAUGCUUCCGAUGACUCUCUUGAACAAAUCCAUCGUUCUCUCCGCAUUUUGACGGAAUCCUGUAGAGACUCCCCAUUCUCAGUCACCGUGUAAACGACGCAAGCGGAGAGAAGUGUUCCGGCUGAGAGGAGAAGGAAAGUAAAGAUAUUUCUCUUGCGAACGGGUUGCGAGAAUGAGGGACUGAUGAUGGAAACUGGGAAUGGGACGUAGGUGAGGGUUUUGAGACAAUGAAGUGGAGAAUUUAGCCAGAAUACGGUGAGGGAUGAGAGUGGCGUAGCCAGGAUUCCCCGUCAGGGGGCAAGAUUUGGGUGGAAAAAAAAAUUGAACUAAUUUAAAAAUAAAAUUUUGGCAUGACCUAUUCACCUUAAAUCUAAGAAUACAUUCUUAAAUCACACUAUAAAAUUAUAUAAGAAUUAAUGUAUAAAAUUAUAAAUCCUUCAAUCGUAAAAAAAAUAACAAAACCUUGGUAUUGAAGAUCUUUUUAUGUUUCCCACAAAUGACAAAUGUAAAUAGACAACCUAAAAAAAAUAAAAAGCAAACAAUUUAUAAACAGAAAGAUAUAAAAAAAAAGAAUAUCAAAGAAAAUAAGAAAAUUUAUAAACAGAAAAUAAGAAAGAUAAUUGAACACAGUAAUCUUCAAUCCACCGAAUAUGAUAAUAUUCCGUUCAUAUAUUCUCUUUUCAUAUUUUAAUUAUCAUGUUCAUUGUUCAGUCAAAAGAUAUAGACCACAAAAAUAGAAAAAUCAAUGAUUUAUAUUCAACCAAAACCGGAAUAGAUAUGACAUAUAGACCACAAAAAAAUAAUCACAAUAGAACCCAAGGUCUUGUUUUAUAAACCGGAGUAGAAAAAUCACAAUAGAACCCAAUUCCAGUAGAAAUAUAGACUUUUCUCCUCCGAUUUUUAUAUCACAAUCGUAAAAUAUAAAACAAGAUCAAGCAUUGAUAAAAUCCAUCACCAUCGUAUUAUUCGUAUAAACAUUAAACAGGAUCGAACAUUCGUAUGAUUUUCUUUUCACGCAAAUAAUAUGUAAAAACAAGAUCAACAAAUAAAUACCAGAGAAGAGAUUUCCAGCAAGGCAGCAACAACCGUGAAGAAGAGAUUCCCGGAGAAGAUUAGGGAUUUGGUCGGGGAGAAGAUUUGUGAAAACUGAAAACUGAACUUGGAUCGUGGGGGGAUAAUGUUAGAACGACGUGUAGCCCUUGGAGGAGAAUUGGCUGGAGUUAGGCCAGCAGCAGCUCCGGUGAUCGCCGGUAGAACCAUUGAGAGAAGGAGUAAUGUCCCAAGUAGCCGUUGGGAGAUCAACUGAUUUAAACCAACUAAACCGGUCCUCUGAACCGGGUUUAAUUCGAAUAUAUUUUGUAUUAAAUUGAAUGAAUAGAGUUUACAAUAAUGAUAUACUUAUACAGAAUUACACUGACUGAUUAACUACUAAUUAACUAAUCAAUGUAAAUAAUCUGUUAUAAUCUUUAUUGAAACUUUUGCAACAACAACCCCAAACUUCUUUGAAUCACGAAUCGUGUUUAUUGAAACUUUUGCGUUUGUAACCUCGAGCUUUCCUUUAAUUACUUCGACACAUGUUUAUUGAAACUUUUGCACUCGUAACCUCGAGCUUUCCUUUAAUUACUUCGGCACAUGUUUAUUGAAACUUUUGCACUCGUAACCUCGAACUUUCCUUUAAUUACCAACUCACAUGUUUAUUGAAACUUUUGCAUAUGUAUUCUUAAGUUUCUUAUUUAUUUGGGUUAAUUGCCUGCACAUCAUUCUGUUAUUCAUAAUAUCACAUAUAUCCUGGAUAUUGGAUUAGUUUUAAUUAAGCUCUGGAUUUACAGAGUUAACUUGUUUAUUAAUUGUUUAAUUAAUCUGUUUAUUACAGAGUUAAUUCCUUUAGAUAAGGGGGAGAAGAUUUGUGAAAGUGGGGGGAAGAAUAUUGUGAAAUUUAUAUUAACCCUUAAAAAAUAUUAAUAAAAUUACAUUUACCCCUUAUUAAAAAAUUAUUACAUAUAGGCUCUUAUUUUUUACCAACUUUCCGGGGGCAAUUGCCCUCUGACCCUCUCUUCCCCCGGCUACGCCACUUUGAGGAGGAGACGGCGGCGGAUCAUCGAAGUGAACUAGCGAAGGUAGAUUGAUAGUGAUGUUCGCAAGUCGCACCAGCAGCUGUGCAUAUCAUUUCUUUUGUUUACUCAAUUGCCGUGUUGGGAAUUUUACAGAUGAUCUGAGUCGGAAAGUCGGUGGAUGAAGUAUCGACUAACAGUAGUUGAUAAUUUAAUAUCGGAUUCAUUAGAGAUUAAUUUAGGGCCAAGCUUUUCCAGCUUGUGCUCAAAGUCAGAACCCAAUCCAAUUUUGGGACAGCCUCGAGACCGUUUGAGC